rnacentral:rRNA from 1 species
UACGUAGGGGGCUAGCGUUGUCCGGAUUUAUUGGGCGUAAAGAGCGUGUAGGCGGCUAGGUAGGUCCGUUGUGAAAACUCGAGGCUCAACCUCGAGACGUCGAUGGAAACCAUCUAGCUAGAGUCCGGAAGAGGAGAGUGGAAUUCCUGGUGUAGCGGUGAAAUGCGCAGAUAUCAGGAAGAACACCCGUGGCGAAGGCGGCUCUCUGGGACGUGACUGACGCUGAGACGCGAAAGCGUGGGGAGCGAACAGG